rnacentral:rRNA from 1 species
CGGGUGAGUAACGCGUAGGAACUUGCCUAGUAGUGGGGGAUAACGUGUGGAAACGCGCGCUAAUACCGCAUACGCUCUACGGAGGAAAGCGGGGGAUCUUCGGACCUCGUGCUACUAGAUGGGCCUAUAUCAGAUUAGCUAGUUGGUAAGGUAAUGGCUUACCAAGGCGACGAUCUGUAGCUGGUUUGAGAGAAUGAUCAGCCACACUGGGACUGAGACACGGCCCAG